rnacentral:lncRNA from 1 species
GCUGUUUAUAAACUGGAAAUAAUGAUACAUGUCCUGACUCCUAUUGGGUUGUUGCAAAGGAAUCAAUUGAAAUAAGACAAGACUUUCUGAAGGCACUUUGCCAACUUUCAGAACUGUAAAGAUUAAGGGACUGCUACUAUGUGCUGCUCAGGAAAUAACAGGCACCUGGGAAAACCCACGAAGUAAGGUUUUGUAAGAAGUUGCUCUGCUCCCUGGGAGAAAACGCGGAGCUCAACACUGCCAAGAGGAACAAGUCUGGGAAAUUACGACAUGAGUCUGUAACUUUAAAUGUCUUCCUGGAGCAAAGCAGGAAUGGCUGCUUUGGAUUUCAAAUGAGCACUCAAACAAUUUUAUCUGGCCCA